UCCAUCUGAACAUGAGGAAGAACUUCCUGACUGUGAGAGCCAUUCAGCAGUGGAACUCUCUGCCCCAGAGUGUGGUGGAGGCUCCUUCUUUGGAGGCUUUUAAACAGAGGCUGGAUGGCCAUCUGUCAGGGGUGCUUUGAAUGCAAUAUUCCUGCUUCUUGGCAGGGGGUUGGACUGGAUGGCCCAUGGUCUCUUCCAACUCUUUGAUUCUAUGAUUCUAUGACUCUAUAUGUACCUAUUCCGAUUUACAUACAAAUCAAUUUAAGAACAAACCUACAGAACUUGUCUGUAACUGAGGGAUUUUGCAUAGUGUGCUGUUGACGACAGACAUGAUAGUUGCAUUAUUGGCACGAUUAUCUUUCCUCAUGUCCUCUCCAAACAGGUUUCUAUGCUGUCUCCAAUGCCGCUGGUGGCUUUUGUUUCUGCACAAAUUAUUACACUUUUUACAAGAGACAAAGAGGAAGCAAGGAGAAGGAACAAAGGGAGGGAGAUGGAAGAGUGAAUAAGGGAAUCCCAAUAUUUGAAUCUACUGGGCACCUUUGAUUUUAUUACCGGGCACCAAUUAAUCGGUACAAUAUAAACACCCAGUUUUCCCUUAAUGGCCAAGGAAGGUGAAUGGAUCAUCAAAAAGAAUUUUUUUGUACUCCUACUGCUGUUCUGUUGUGCUGUGCAACAUUUUGCUACAUAGACUAUUUUAUAGGAGAAAGCUAGAAAAAAAUAUUUAUUAUUAAUAUUAAAGCAAUAGUGCAUUUGGGGAGGGCGGGGAAUUGAAGAGACAUUAGAAAUUGUGUAAAUGCUUAGAUUCACUUUUGGUGGAUUUUUUUUGUACUUUAUUUAUAACUAAUAAAAUGAAUUGCAUUGCUAA